rnacentral:piRNA from 2 species
UGCCACAGGGCAUGUAUGUGAGAAGGGUCU